ensembl:lncRNA
GCUCCGUGGGACGUCACGUCACUGUGGUCUCGUUCUUGUGCCAUUAGGACAACGGUCAAAAUUUGAACUUAUAAAAGAAAAAAACAAGGAAAAACUGAAGAAGAAAAAAAAAUCAAGCUAAAGACUCUUAGCUGUAGAGUGACACCAUGCUCUCCUAGUAUCCACACCUUUUUCGGUUUGGUUUUCUUUUAUUUUAAAUUUAUAAUUUUUUUUUCAGUAGCAGGCCUAGGCCUACUGUUCUUCAACAGUCAUAUCUAAAGUAGCGCUAUAUGGUACCAAAUCUCUGGAUUACAACAAUGUUUCUUUCCUUUUUUUUUUCUUGAAAGUUAUUUUAUUUUGCACUUGCAGGAGUGUGAGGUGGAGACGUAUACGUCUGUGCUAUAGUGUGUGUGUGUGUGUGCGCGUGUGUGUGCGCGUGUGUGUGAGGGGGAGGCUGAGGCCGUCAUCAAGAUUAAAUACAGGGUCUGUUUCGAUCAAGCCAUUUGAUUGACAUUUACACUGAGUUAGUGAGAGAUGAGGUCUACAUGAGAAGUGCCUGAAGUAGGAUUCAGUCUAACAUGGACACAGGGUACAGCACACACCAGUCACUGGGAGGGGGGGACGGACGGACACACACGCCCCCCAUCCCCUUGUGCUACGUGGCUGUGUUCAGACACUACCAAUACCUGGCGCAAGCUUAACAUGACCGGCCACGAGGAAACGAUGUUAAAACGGCUGUGGCUUACAGACGGUCUCUGAAGGUCUUUUACCUUUCAGCGCCGUCUUAUGCAGCCAGGGCAGGGUGAAGUGAUGGCAGGAAGUGACAUAGUGGGUGUGGCGUACAUGUGGACACCGUGUGGUGAGAAACUGGACCGGACUCUGAAGCCCAAGCAGUGAAGUCCUCUGGGAUACAUGUUCACUUGGGUACGACAUGGACUGGGGGACCUGCUGUCAAUCAGUUGGUGUUUAUCAGUGCAGUUCAGUGGGAAUCUAGGGAGGUUGGGGCAUGUGGAUUGGAAGCAGAGAGAUGCUGGCACAUUUGUGUUAGUGCAAGACAUGGUGGGGGCAAUUAUGUACUGGACAAAAAAAAAGUAAUGGAAACGGUCCCAUCACCGUGAGCAGAUGCUUAGAUGGCGUGGUCCUUCACGCACGUACUCAACUGGUGUUCAUUUUCUGCUUCAUAAACGGUGGCUUUACUGUGGGUAGGGGGAGGUCUAAUGCAGAA